UCACUGGAAGUUGAAAAAUACAUCAGAUGCCAACAAAUAUUAAAGGUAAUAUUGCGUUAAAGACGAUGGGGAACAAAGAUGCGGUGCAGUACGUGCCCAGGAAAAGGAGAUCCCCGAUCCAGGGACUGAGACGCUGUUAAAGAGGUUGAAAAUGAACAACUAACGCUGUGACCAAUGUCUCUGGGAACACUUGAUGGAACGAUCUUCAAGAUCUGGAUGCCUACAGAAGGAACAUAAUUUUUUCAGUUUCUUAUGAGCCACUGAGCUACUCCAUGCCACCAAGGAGACCAACCCCUGACUUUGACACCAUCGACAAAGCAAUUAAUUCUUCCGUCAGAUCCUAAAUUACUGGAAGAGAAGACCCUUAUCCUGAUCUGCUGGCACCAGUUCUGCUUCUUUAGGGUACUGAGAAAGCUUCCUGCCUCCUCCGCUGGCUGCGUUCGCAGAAUGAACCCCAACAUGGUAAAAUGAAGCAAGUUUCUCCCACACAACUGCAAGUGCAGAAGUCUCAUCCCCAACCUGCUUGGAGGUGCAACCAGACAUACAACAAAAGCAGCAAUUGGUACCAUCACCAUUGCACAGCGGUCACAGAGCAGCGUCUAACAGGUCCCUUCACCACCACCUCCGUCACGCUGCCAAGGAGGACUCGUGUCCACGACAGGAACGUCUGUCCCAUGGACCUUAGCUGAAACCCUCAGAUUACUUUUGCAGGAAUCUGACAGCUUCGUGCAGCUCUGAAACCAGCAGUUACCAAUGGGUUUAUCAAUGGAAAACAGCGUUUCAACGAUGAGGUCUCAAAAUGGUUUGAAGAGAAGCCGUGCCCACGCUUGCCUCUCCUGAAAUGAUGGGACCAAGGUGGUGGGCAGUUUCUAACAUAAAGAAAUGCUCCUUGUCCGGUGAGAGCUGCUGGCAGGGGUGCAGGAGAAGGCAUCUGGUUUGACCAAGACAAACUCCCAGCUGAAAAAAGUGCUUUUACGGCCAGCUCACCUGGGUCGUUGAGCGGUGUCAGCCUCCCAUGGAGUCAAUGGACUUCGAAUGUUCGCAGCCCUUCCUGGCUAUACUCAGCGUGCAAGAUCAGACACCACGUGGAGCAACUUCAAACUCAAUGGAAAACGAGUAACUGAUGCAAAGCCACUUUGAUGGACUCUGUUCUGGUUUUUAUAGCUUGUGUGUAAAACAAGCGGAUUAACCCAGUUGCCCUGUGGUUGUUCCCUUUCCGUGCAGAUAAAACCAAAGCAAAAUCUUGUUAUAUUUUUAAGUAAAGGAUUUUUAGCCGCAGGUUCAAAUAUAUGUAACUAGUAUUUACAGGCUUGAACUCUGUGAAGCCCGCUUGGAUUUCCUCAUCGUUUUGUGGGGUAGCGAUACACAAAAUGCCUCGAUAUCUGUUGCAAUUAAUGCUCUGGAGGAACCGGUUAAUGGUUGUGAAAUUACGGCACGUUUGAAGGUUCUGACAUAGCAGAUAAUUUCCCCUUACUUCCCAUGCCCCGACAGACACAAGAUCUAGACUUGCUGACACUCUGCAAGAAAAGCUCUCCUUUACGAGGAGUCCCAGCCCUGGCCCGCAGAGCCGAGACAUUGCGAUGGUGGGGAUAAGCUUCAAUAACCUCUCUGGCCACGGCCAGCUUAUCUAAAUGAAAAGCCAAAGUUACAAACCCUUUGGAGGCUUUCCCAUCGCUUACCACAAAAGCCCAGGAAAAAAGAAAAUGAAAGGUUUCCGUUUUCAAUUUAAAGAGGGUGCAGGUAUUUCAGUUCCAAACAAAUUAGAUGGUAGAUUAUUAAAAAAUGCUUCAGUGUCCAAAAAUGGCAUAGUGCAAAACUCCACAUUUUAUUCCAAGUAAACAAAAACAAUCAACCCCUUCCUGGUAGAAAACGGUGGAAAUAGCAGUAAAGACGUUAAUUCUCAGAUCCCCGUUUUCCCUGGAGAUGCUCACCAGUUUCCUUGUCCACCGCGAGCCCACAGCAGCGGCCCAGGGGAGAGCUGUGUGCCCGGGUUGCGGCUGGCUUGGGGGGGGACCGAACGCUGUUGUUAUACACGAUGCCGCUCGAUUUAGCAAUGCGUAACGCUGGAUCCAACGCCCACGGGACUCGAUGUGGGCUCUGACGGACAUCAGUGUGCCCUGCAGCCUCGCCAGCGGCCGUGCCGCUGCGGCAUCCACGGAAGGUACCGGCACGUGGCGGGGGGAGCCACCCUGGGUGCACACAGAUUGUACCAGGAAAAUAAUUACAAGAGUAUGUUUUUAAUGGGAAUCAAAGUUAUGUUCUUUGCAGACGCGUCUGGGGCAUAAAUUGAAAAAUCAAACACCCAGGAAGUUUGUUAUAUCCCUGCUGAAAGUCUCCAGGCUUAAUUUAGUCAACAUUCUGAAUUAAUUUUCCUAUUAAAUGGAUGCUUGCUAAAAAAGUAGGGGGAAAUUUUUUUCACUGAUAAGAUUGUUCUGUGAACCGUUCCUAAUGAGCUGCUGUGUCAUUCCCUUAUGCUUUCUAUUUGUCUUGUUUAGAUCACUUCAGUUCGAAGUA